rnacentral:rRNA from 1 species
GACGAACGCUGGCGGCGUGCUUAACACAUGCAAGUCGAACGGAAAGGCCCUGCUUUUGUGGGGUGCUCGAGUGGCGAACGGGUGAGUAACACGUGAGUAACCUGCCCUUGACUUUGGGAUAACUUCAGGAAACUGGGGCUAAUACCGGAUAGGAGCUCCUGCUGCAUGGUGGGGGUUGGAAAGUUUCGGCGGUUGGGGAUGGACUCGCGGCUUAUCAGCUUGUUGGUGGGGUAGUGGCUUACCAAGGCUUUGACGGGUAGCCGGCCUGAGAGGGUGACCGGCAACAUUGGGACUGAGAUACGGCCCAGACUCAUACGGGAGGCAGCAGUGGGGAAUAUUGCACAAUGGGCGGAAGCCUGAUGCAGAAACGCCGCGUGCGGGAUGACGGCCUUCGGGUUGUAAACCGCUUUCGCCUGUGACGAAGCGUGAGUGACGGUAAUGGGUAAAGAAGCACCGGCUAACUACGUG